rnacentral:lncRNA from 1 species
AUCAACGGCUGUCGUCACCAGGUAAUCCGAAUCAUCUCUCCCUCACUCUAUCUAUCUCUAUCUCUUCUCCCUCAGUUUUAAUUCUUCUUUAUUAUUUAUGGCUCUCUAUCUGCCUUGCCUCUUGUCAGUUCCGAUUGUCGCCAGCUUACAUACUCAAGUCCUAGGUUUGGUUUCGAUUUUCUCUUCUUUUUUUUUUGUCUAUUUUAGUUUUUGUUGAUAUUCUAUUUUUAAUAAACUUUUGCCCUUGUGGUCUGCUUUAGAUUAUCUUAAUGAUUAUUAUUAUACAAGUACCAAACUAUGUGCAUAUAGUUGUAUGUUAUGUGGUUGCGAUGAAAUAUUUUGCAUCACCUCAGUGCCUUGAUUAAUUCAGUGGAGCGAGGGUUGUAAUACUUUGCUAUUUACUCAGAAAACAACACUGCUUUAUAAUUCUAAUGAAUUUUUUUCCUUUUUGUUCACUUCUACAAUAUACGUAUUGUCGUUCUCUGGUGGAUUUGGUAAUAAUUAUGUAGGAGUAAACCCAAAAGCCUUCAAAUUGGAGGAGAAUAAUAUGUAAUAACCCAAAACUCAAUAUACGUACUAUCAUUCUUUGGUGGACUACUGGUUAUUGUUCAUUUGACAAGCAAAUGUCAUUUCUCUUGUAUUAAGAAAUAUUGUUUAGUGUUCUUUCAUGGCUGCUGAUAUGUUGAAGUCUAUUAAAUUUCAAUUGAUAAUUGCUUCCUUUUCUUAUAUGUGUUUUCUCCUCUCUGAUCUUUUUCAGAAAAUAGCUAAGAUGGCUCGCUCACAUAGUUCUCUUGUACUGGUGGGUAACAACAGUAUUAUGUACCUUGUAUCAUCCCAUCCUUUGAACCUUGGAGCAGGUAUCUGCAGAUACUUCUUGUUCUGGUAACAUGAACCUUCUUGUGUUAACAUUCUCAAGGUGCUGGUUACCUUAAAUGGUCCAUUGUUUUUCAGAUAUUGUGAUGCAUUCAGCAGCUAAGUUUAUAACUCGCCAUUGUGAUUUGAUGGAGGGGUGUACUUGUGGUCACAGGAGGAAAGAUUUUUCUUCUUAUGUUCAUGACUUGAUUUACGCUUGUCAUAUGCUUUCUCAUCAUCCGUAGUGCCCUUGAGUUGCUUUCAUGGCCAAAACUAUUAGAUUACCCUGAUUGAAUAAAAAGAAGAAAAAGAAAAAUUGUCUCAAGUACUAAGUGUCUGUUGCAUAAUUAUUAAUUUACCUCAAUGUAACACUAGAAAUUUCUAAAUAAUAGUAGUUUGGAGUGCAAAACUCAUGUUUUACUUAGAAACAUAUUUGGGUACAUGCUAAUAUUAUUCUGAAACAUACAAAUCAAUUUCUUUUGUUGCACUAUGAAUAGUUGUCUAGCUCUCAAUUUGCUGAAGAUCCAUUUUGCUUACCGCAGCUGUGAGAGUGACUUGAUUGUCAAUUUUUUGUUGUUGCACCAUGAACAGUGGUCUAGCUCGCAAGAGGUUGGUUGACAUAAGCAUGGAGUCAUUACUCCUCUCUCAUAGCACUUGGUUACUCUGCAUGAGUUAUCUGGUGGUGGUCAGUGGACACAAUCUUGGUCCCGAAGCUGUGAUAAUUGUAUUCAUUCUGUAGGUUUGUUGAAUCCAUUAUCUUCCAAAGGUUUAAUAAUCACGCUAGACCUGAAAACUUCCUUCCAGGUAUGCAGUUGUGAUCUCAUGAUGAGUUGGAAAUCCUAGUCGUCUUGGAACUUCCAGUAAGACUUGUCUUGCUGUGAUGAAUCACAAGACAAGUUUGAAUGUGCAAAUUGAGACUUCCUUGAGAACAUAGGUGUAUGAGAAGGAUAAGCAGACAGAACUGAUAAAGUUUGAUGCGGCAAUUGGAUUUGAACUCCGGAGAAGGGAUGUAACCAAUUUUACUUUUUUUUGGACUUCACUUUUACUCGACUAAACUGUUGGGAAAACUAUCAAAAUAGUCCUUAAUGGGGUUGGAUUAUUCUAGUCUUUCAUAUAUAUUAAUAUA